UAGGGAAUAUUGCUUAAUGGGCGAAAGCCUGAAGCAGCAACGCCGCGUGUGUGAAGAAGGCCUUCGGGUUGUAAAACACUUUUUGAGGGAAUGAGGAAGGACAGUACCCUCAGAAUAAGCCUCGGCUAACUACGUGCCAGCAGCCGCGGUAAAACGUAGGAGGCGAGCGUUAUCCGGAUUUACUGGGCGUAAAGCGCGUGCAGGCGGCACGGCAAGUUGGAUGUGAAAGCUCCCGGCUUAACUGGGAGAGGUCGUUCAAAACUGCCGAGAUAGAGUGCGGGAGAGGGAGGUGGAAUUCCGGGUGUAGUGGUGAAAUGCGUAGAUAUCCGGAGGAACACCAGUGGCGAAAGCGGCCUCCUGGUCCGCAACUGACGCUCAGACGCGAAAGCGAGGGUAGCAAACGG
rnacentral:rRNA from 1 species